rnacentral:lncRNA from 1 species
GCGUCUGAAGUAGCCUUGACUCGGAGGCGACGCUCUAGCAGGCGGCCCAUCUGCCUCUGUGUUGAUGGAGAUGAUUUUCCUGCACAAAGUUGCUCUCAUCAUCAAAGAAGCAGCAAGAAAAUCCUGUGAACUUUGAAAAUCCUGCCAGCCUCCUGCUACUUCUUGCCGCGAGGGAAGAAGUGCGAGUGUGGAGAGAUGCACAAAGAUUCCUGCCCACUCACCGCAGAUGGGAUUUUAUUUGAUUUCAUUCGAUGCAAGAUAAAAGACACUGAGACCCAAACAGUGAAGUGGAGGAACUCAGGGUCUGAAGAGAGGCAGUGACAAGAGAUGCUCCUGUAACUUAGGUGACCUAUCUCCUGGUUAGCCCUGCGACUGAAGAAUGGCCCAGGACCAGCGGCAUCGAUGAAACCCGUGUCAAUGCUGGGAACCAUGAUGAGGUUAAUGUGUGCUUGGCCAGAGGACUCCCAAAUCCUGACCUUCUCAGCCAUCCCUCUCUACACGGUCCUGUUGACUGACAAAGCAAAACUUCAGUGCUGACUAGGUCCCUGAUCCCUAAACCCAGUGCAAUCUCUGGCAGGGCAAUGCUCAGGAAGCUGCCUAUAAAGAAAGCCAAGACAAACUGAACUCUGUUUAAAAACGAGGGAAGUGGAGAAGGAAGACAAAAAAAAAAGAGGAGGACAAGGUGUUUUAACUUUCUGGAUUGGUACUUUAUUUUAGACGUAUGGUUUUAUGUAUUUUUUGUAACAUCCCAAAGAGCACAGCAAUGAAGGACAGAAGCCCUGGUAUCUGAUUCCUUGGGUGUGAAGGUUGGUUCUUCAAUCUCUAUGCUGUCUGAUUUUGGUCAAAUUACUCUAACAUCUUUCUUCCCUACUUCUCUCUUCUAUAAAAUGGGUAUCUUAAUUGCACCUAGCUCAUGGUGGGUGGUGAAUUUUCAUCAGCUUACUUCAUAUAUAAAGCACAGAGGAUGAUGGCUAGAAUAUACCAAGCACUCAAGGAGACAGUAUCAAUGUCAUAGAUAUACUAAUCUAUUCCUUUGUGAUUUCUCACAUGGCUUUUAUGCUCACAAGUCUACAUCCACAGAAAAACUAAAAUGUAUUCCCUUAUACAUUGUUUUAUUUUCCUCAUUAUUUAAUUACUUAUUCACUUUUUAUGUUUAACUCUUUAAUUCACAAAAAUUUAUUUCAGUAUAUGGUAAGAGGUAUGCUAACUUGAUUUCUCCCUAAAGUAUUAAGUGUUCCCCCUUGUCAAUUAAUCCACCUUAUCUCAUUGGUUUGUAUAGUCCCUUUAUCAUUUACCAAGUUUUUACAUACACUUGGAUCUACUUUUAGAUUAACCAUUCUAUCCUGCUGUUCGGCCCUUUGAUUUCUAUCCUAGCGCCAUACUGCAAAAAUGAGUAUAGUUUUACUGUUUACUAGGUCAUUUCUGAUCUCAUCAUUUCUGUUUUCAGCUAUGAAGUAGUCCAGGUGAUUAUAUAAACCAUUUUAAUGUUAAAAAUAUAAUUGGGGUUUUGAGUAGGAUUAUACCCUUUCUAAAUUGAUUUAGGGGGAUCAGACACUUUUGAACUAUUUUGUUUCUUCAUUUACAAAAUCUUUUAUAUCUCUCUAAAGAUUUUAGUUUUUUCACAAAGCCUUCCACGUAUUUCUUAAUAUGAUUAGCAGGUAACAUUUUGUUACUAGCUGUGAAAAGAAUUUUUUCCCCUGGUACAAUGAGAAGCAGGAGGGAACAUGUUAUGGUCACCUUCCGCACCUUAACCUGAGUUUUUUCUUUCACAGAAUCUCUGUGUAUAUACUUUUUUGUAAUAUAUUUAUCUGAAUCAGGAACUACUUGCCAAACAUCAUGUAAACGUGCAAUAAGAAUACUGUUUCUAAAAGUCAUGUUUCCUAUUAAUUCAACACAUUUUCAUGGUGUCUCAACUAUACCCAUUCUUCCUUGCAGACAGAAAUGGUCUCUUGGAGAGCUGACAUUAGAGAACUGAUUUCAUCACAGCUUGAUAAGUAUUAGGGCGAAUGGCUGGGGUCAAUAUGAGGGUUUACUCUGGGGUCUGAAAUCCUAUGAACACAGCAGGUGAUCUCUAGGAAGUGACUCUGAGCUGAGUUCUGAGAGAUGAACAAAAAUUAACUAGGCAACCUUUGGAUGCUUCGGACAAAGAAGUGGGCCAAAGUGCAGGAUGUUCAAGGAAUUAAGAUAGGACUUCUGUGGCUGUAACACAGAAAUGUGGAGAGAGGUGGGAAGUAAACUGAGAUAAGUCCGUGAGAUAUACUACACACACACGUAUAUAAUGGUAAUACCAUAGCUAUAUCUAUAUCUACUCUCUCAGAAAUCAGGAUUGCUCCCAUGGUUAUAGCGCCACAGUCCUUGAGAAAACAGCUCCGUGACAUUUAAUGUUCUUUAGCCUGGAGGGAGGAGAAUUUAGCUCUUCUCCAAGAUUUCCCAGCAGAGUUUGUUAUCCUAAUCAAAGCUAGGCCAGGCUGGUAUCUGCCGUGAGAUGGAAAGGUAUCCGAGGCAUUAGUGACUUAUGGUCCUGUUUGCAGUUCUCUUGUUAGUGCUUUUAUGAGCAAACCUCAGCCUAUUUUGUAAAAGUAGGUUUUUUGUGGAGCAAUCAUACAGCCCCUUCUGUGAAACUUCAAACUGGUAAAUGCCAAACAGGUUUAUGGAAGGUUGAAUCAAAAAAAAAAAAUCUGAAAGACACAGCACAUCCUCUAACUGAUCCAAGAGUAUGAGGUAGUAUUUCUCAAUUUUGGCACUAUUGACACUUGGGACCACGUAAUUCUUUAUCUUGGGGGCUGUCCUGUGCCUUGUAGGGUGUCUAGCAGCAACAUCCUGGCCACUACCCACCAAGUGCCAGUAGGACUGUCCUCCAAUUGUGACACCCAAACAGCCUCUGACGGGCAGAAUCACCCAGGUUAAGAAUCACUCAGUUGCAGAGGCCAUAAAAGUACUGUUCUUCUCAUUUAAAACUGUUAUACUCAUUUUUGCUUUGCCAUGAAUUCUCUUAGACACUGUAACAUUUAACAAAUGAGAUUCAGAUUUAUCACAAAGCACUGUCAUGUAUAUCUUUUAGUCACUUAUUUCAGCCAAGAUUUAUUAAACAUCUGUUUUGUGUAGGCACUACACUGGUUGCUAGAGCCACAAGGUCAAAUGAGAUAACCUUGCAAGGAGCCUAGUCUUCAGGGAAGACAAAAAUAAGUGAGUACAUCAUAGGCGCCUGAUAGAAAUGUGGCAGAAGUCUACGGAGGCUUGAGAAGAAAGGUCAGAAACCCAGGUGAGGGGUGGAGCUGUCUGGGAAUGAUAAGACUCAGAAGUGGAACCUGACACAUGGUGUUUUUCAGACUGAUGGAUUUGGGAGAUGGUUGGAGAGCUGUAAGACUUGCAACAAUAUUCUGAGACAUUUAUUAUGAUCCUCUCUGUUUUAAGCAUGAGAAUACUGCAAAGUUAAACAUUUAGCUUAGGGUCACUUAGCUAGGUCGCAACAUUAACCUAUGAAUUUAACUAUUCCCUGGAUUAACAGUGUUUGCCUUUUCCAACUGGAUACAAUGGAAUAAGAGAGAUUCUGGGAAUAUUCUUGACAAACAGUCCUCUUAAAACAAAACAAAAUUGUAAGGACAAAAAUAAUACUCUCUUAUAUUAAUAUAUAUUUCACAAGGCACAUUCACAGACAUUAUCUCUUAUGAUCCUUCCACCAAUCCUGCCAGUUCCACGGUAGGCAUGCAUAUCAACUUUGCUUUAUAGGGAGGAAGUACACUCAGGGGGUUUAGGUACAGAACUCACAAAGCACGCUGCCUUUCUCAGCACGAACACACAGGUCCCAUGGGGCAAUGGACUGCUUCGUUGUAUUUUAGCUUGUCAUUAUAUUUUAGCACCAGGAUACUGCCAUCAUUUUGCUAUCCUUGAUAGCAGUUCAAUUUUUGCACUUACAGCUGAAAUUACAGUGUCUCAAAGCUAAAUUUAAAAGAGCAAUUUACUGCUGUCCCUAUGAAGAAAGAGAACCAAUCAAUGUAAUAAAAAAAAAUUAAGAUCAUUCUGUACUUUGUAUAGUUGCUGUUGCAGAGGGAACAGUGAACUGCCUGUCAUUAUGGAAUAUUUAGAAAGCACAACAGUGCUUGGCCUGAAGUAGGUGCUCAAGAAAUGCAUGUUAGGAGGACAGACAGCUGGAAAAGUGAACGGAUGGAUGAGAAGGCAGAUGGAAGGAUGGCUGCUUCCAGGAAUGAGAUGGUGACCUGCUCUCAACACCAUGACCUAUAUCGUCUACCUCCAUUUUCUGUUAGGAACAAGCUCUUUGUCACUGGCUUCCAUGGGGUCUCUAAUCCCAGUUCUUGUCUAAAAGAAGAAUAAGAACAGGUGAAAAAAAUAUUGCAAUUGUGGGGGAACAAAAUUGUCACCACAAAAUAUCUCUUUGGCAUGUGGAUCAUGUCAAGCUGAAAACAAGCCCCAAAAGACUCAGAAAGAAACCUGGACCUUCCCCCAAACGCCUAAAGAGUGUGGAUGGAGGACCUGUUCCAGGAAGGGAGCCAUCACCAUAGACAAGUACAGAAUGAAGUAUCCAGACAAGGAGGAACCUGUUGAAAUUCCUCUGUGUCCCCCUUCUGUGAAUGGCCCAGCGACUAUCUGCUUUCCAAACACUUGCUUUCGCAACUUGUCAACUGCCUCCUCCUUUGAAGUCCCAAAUAACUCCCCUUUAUGUUCUCUUUUGUCUUUAGCUGAAGAUAAUAUUUAAAGUGACCAGUCUCAGCCAUUUGGGUGAGUUACUCAGUUUUUGUAAGUUUCUCCCAUGAACACAUGGUAUUCAGUAUUUAUUUGACUUUUCCUCUUAAUCCAUUGCACACCAAUUUAAUUCUCAAACCAGCUAGAAGAAUCUAAGAGGGCAGAGAUACGUUUCUUCCUCCCCAACAAAAUCAAAGGCAGCCUUUUAGUUUGGAAAUCUCCUUCCUAAAGGUCAGGGGUUCAGGACCCACUGUGUUAGCCAUGAAUACUCUAUUGAUUAGACUCAAACUUGACCCUUAACCCUUCCUUUCUACUAUAUCUGGUUAGUCACCAAGUCCUGUCGCACCUCCCACUUGGGGGUGUAUUUCAAAAUUAGCUCUUAAUUUCCAUUUCCAUCUUAUUCGUUCUUCGGCUCAGAUCCCAUCACCUCAUUUGUAGGCUGUUACCCUAAUAUACCAACUAGUCUAUCUUCACAUUUUUUUCUGUUUUUUUCUUGGGCGUCCUGUUCCAACUAAUAUUUAAAUACUUCCUUUUUUUGUUUCUUUUGCCUUCAGUGACUGCACAUGAUAAAGUUCAAUUUUCUUAUUCUAUCAUCCUGAGCCUCCCACACUGAGGCUCUUCCUAUUUUAUCUCUGCAAGGACCUACUCAAACCUGAGUAGUCUCUUCAUUGUACCCCAAACACGUUUUACACAUCACCUCCCAUGGUUCAUUCUUGUCCAAUGUUUACUGAGAAUCUUCUGCAUAAGCUAUGUGUUAGAUCAUAAGUAUUGAGAAAAGGACAAAAUAUUAAAAGACAAACUGAGCUCAAGGAGCUCAGCUUCCUGGGGAAGAAAAUAAAAUAAAUAAAAUAAGCUAUUUUAUUAGAGAGUGAAGAUAUUGCAUUAGGAUAAGAACAAGAUCCUGGAGGACCUCAGGGGAGGGAUAACCCUAGACUAAAUCUCACAUGUCCUUCUUUGAGUCACUUCCGUAUCUGGAGUUCAAUACUUUCAUGUUAUAAUUCUACAUCUACCAUAGUUUGCAAUCAUUUACCCUGACGUCAGAGAUAGACUCACACUUACCUCUGGUCCUAAAAACCCAGUUCAGUGACAGACCACCACACAUCAGCACACACAUCGGUGAGCAGUCCUGGGUUACUCACUCUGAGAGAGGUGCCAUGCUGAACAAUUUAUUCACACUUUCCCAAGUGACUUCCACAAUGUGGUAGGUAUAAUUCAUGUAUUACAGUGCCUCUGUUUUACACAGUGAUAGCAAAUAACUCACCCAACAACUAUUCAGUGGAGGAGCCAGGAUUAGAACCCCCAACAGUAUGAUGCCAAAGCCCACGCUCUUAAUUGCUUCCAAAUAUUAACAUAUAAAUGAUGUACUAAUGAAUGAAUGCAUGUUCCUCUCUCUCUGUAGAAGGUUUUUCUCCCUCUAGGACUUCACAAAGCCUGAGAACAGGUCAACCACAUGCAAACAUUAUUUUUCUUUCCCUUUAAAAUGAGAGCUGUUGAAGUGGGAUUGAUAAAAGUGAAAUUAGUCAUCCCAGGGAAGCCACAAGCUCCAGGCACAUCCAAGGUGCUGGGACAGAUGAGAAGUGUGCUGAGCUCUGAAGGCUGAUGCUGAAAGUGCUGGGAAUGGAGCCUACACAGUUACCUAGAGGUGAUCACUUUAUGUGUUCUGCAUUAUGUGACCAACAAAAUAAUGGAUCCAAGGUGACAACUGCAGCAGAGGCAGAUGGCUGCUUUCUGGAGGACUCCACGAGGGCUCUUUCCCUGGCCAAUCCAGCUGCCUUACUUUGUCCUCUCUACUGGGAGAUGUCUUCUCGUUCUUCUCCAGCUGCAAGCCCUUCAAGAGACUUUCAAGAAUUCAAGAGACAUUCAAGAAUUACAGGGGAGGAAGCUUGACUGUGCAGAGGGAAAAUGAGCUAUGCUGGGGUUGGCAGGAUUUGGUAGCUGUUCCUCCUUGGCCACUGUAACAGAGCAGGUUCAAAGUGAAGUACGACUCUUUUAAGUUUAAUGUCCUAAAGUCUUUCCCCUUGAGCUCAAGUACUUCUUCACCAAGUCACUUUCUAAAGGAGAGGAAUACUAUACGUCUGAAUCUGAUUUUUAAAACUCCAGAUUGCAGUCUGGAUCUCUGCAAGUUUCACAUUAAGGGACAAUAUUUUUGUGGCCCAUACAGGGACCAGAGGGGACCCCUAUUGGCUGUUAAGCAAACAGGUGUGGAACCCACAACUGAGUCCACUGAAUGCACUGCUUUUCUUGCCCACCCUGGAGUAUGAAGUUAUGUCUUUCUCCUGGAUCCAAGAUCACAUUCCUCUGCAUCUGAAGAUCUCCAGGCUUUAUUUGGGAUCUAUUUUAAGGUUUCAUCCUUUCUGUUUAAGGCCUUGUUCUGUAUGUUCUAUAGUUGUUUGACACUUUGGUCUGAUUUUGAGAAUAGACUGUUUUAACUGAAA